rnacentral:tRNA from 1 species
GAGAGAGGCUCGCUGCAACAAAGGCCGCUACCCUUUUAGUUUCUUCGGUUGAACUCCGAUGCUCCCUCA